GGGCCCGCACAAGCGGUGGAGUAUGUGGUUUAAUUCGAAGAUACGCGCAGAACCUUACCAACACUUGACAUGUUCGUCGCGACUUUAAGAGAUUAGAGUUUUCGGUUCGGCCGGACGAAACACAGGUGCUGCAUGGCUGUCGUCAGCUCGUGUCGUGAGAUGUUGGGUUAAGUCCCGCAACGAGCGCAACCCUCACUUUUAGUUGCCAUCAUUAAGUUGGGCACUCUGAAAGAACUGCCAGUGAUAAGCUGGAGGAAGGUGGGGAUGACGUCAAGUCCUCAUGGCCCUUACGUGUUGGGCUACACACGUGCUACAAUGGUAUCUACAACAGGAAGCAAAACUGCGAGGUUAAGCAAAUCCCAUAAACCGUGGCUCAGUUCAGAUCGUAGGCUGCAACUCGCCUACGUGAAGGCGGAAUCGCUAGUAAUCGC
rnacentral:rRNA from 1 species